rnacentral:rRNA from 1 species
UACAGAGGGUGCGAGCGUUGUUCGGAAUUACUGGGCGUAAAGGGCGCGUAAGCGGCGCGGGAAGUCCGUGGUGAAAGCCCGAGGCUCAACUUCGGUCGGCCAUGGAUACUCCUGGGCUUGAGCACUGUAGAGGCAGGUGGGAAUUCCGGGUGUAGCGGUGGAAUGCGUAGAGAUCCGGCGGAACACCGGUGGUGAAGACGGUCUCCUGGGCCGAGGGCCGACGCUGAGGCGCGAGAGCGUGGGGAGCGAACCGG